rnacentral:rRNA from 1 species
GACGAACGCUGGCGGCGUGCUUAACACAUGCAAGUCGAACGGAAAGGCCCUGCUUUUGUUGGGUUCUCGAGUGGCGAACGGGGGAGUAACACGUGAGUAACCUGCCCUCGACUUUGGGAUAACUUCGGGAAACUGGGGCUAAUACCGGAUAGGAGCUCCUGCUGCAGGGUGGGGGUUGGAAAGUUUAGGCGGUUGGGGAUGGACUCGCGGCUUACCAGCUUGUUGGUGGGGUGGUGGCUUACCAAGGCAUCGAGGGGUAGCUUGGCUGAGAGGGUGACCGGCCACACUGGGACUGAGAGACGGCCCAGACUCCCACGGGAGGACGCGGUGCAGAAGAUUGCACAAUGGGAGGAAGCCUGAUGCAGCAACGCAGCGUGCGGGAGGACGGCAUUCGGGUUGUAAAACGCUUUACCCUGGGACGAAGCGUGAGUGACGGUAAUGCGUAAAGAAGCACCGGCUAACUACGUG